rnacentral:rRNA from 1 species
GAGUUUGAUCCUGGCUCAGAACGAACGCUGGCGGCGUGCCUAACACAUGCAAGUCGAACGAGAAAGUCCUUCGGGAUGAGUACAGUGGCGCACGGGUGAGUAACGCGUGGAUAACCUGCCCUGAAAUCUGGGACAACAUCUCGAAAGGGGUGCUAAUACCGGAUAAGCCCACGAACUCUUCGGAGUUUGCGGGAAAAGGUGGCCUCUAUUUAUAAGCUAUCGUUUCAGGAGGGGUCCGCGUCCCAUUAGCUAGUUGGCGGGGUAAUGGCCCACCAAGGCGACGAUGGGUAGCUGGUCUGAGAGGAUGAUCAGCCACACUGGAACUGAGACACGGUCCAGACUCCUACGGGAGGCAGCAGUGGGGAAUUUUGCGCAAUGGGGGAAACCCUGACGCAGCAACGCCGCGUGAGUGAUGAAGGCUUUCGGGUCGUAAAGCUCUGUCGGAAGGGAAGAAAUGUACGGGUGCUAAUACCACCAGUACUUGACGGUACCUUCAAAGGAAGCACCGGCUAACUCCGUGCCAGCAGCCGCGGUAA